AUUGAACGCUGGCGGCAUGCCUUACACAUGCAAGUCGAACGGCAGCACGGGAGCAAUCCUGGUGGCGAGUGGCGAACGGGUGAGUAACAUAUCGGAACGUGCCCAGUAGUGGGGGAUAACCCGGCGAAAGCCGGACUAAUACCGCAUACGACCUACGGGUGAAAGCAGGGGAUCGCAAGACCUUGCGCUAUCGGAGCGGCCGAUAUCAGAUUAGCUUGUUGGUGGGGUAAAAGCCUACCAAGGCGACGAUCUGUAGCUGGUCUGAGAGGACGACCAGCCACACUGGGACUGAGACACGGUCCAGACUCCUACGGGAGGCAGCAGUGGGGAAUUUUGGACAAUGGGCGCAAGCCUGAUCCAGCCAUUCCGCGUGCAGGAUGAAGGCCUUCGGGUUGUAAACUAGCUUUUGUACGGUAACGAAACGGUACUGCCCUAA
rnacentral:rRNA from 1 species